rnacentral:rRNA from 1 species
GUGCCAGCCGCCGCGGUAAUACGUAGAGUGCAAGCGUUGUCCGGAAUUAUUGGGCGUAAAGGGUACGCAGGCGGAUAUUCAAGUCAAGCAUGAAAGGUGUCGGCUUAACCGAUAGACUGCGUUUGAAACUGAAUAUCUUGAGUGUAACAGAGGAGAGUGGAGUUCCUAGUGUAGUGGUGAAAUACGUAGAUAUUAGGAAGAACACCAGUGGCGAAGGCGACUCUCUGGGUUAACACUGACGCUGAGGUACGAAAGCUGGGGGAGCGAACGGGAGUAGAUACCCGGGUAGUCC